rnacentral:rRNA from 1 species
GAUGAACGCUGGCGGCGUGCUUAACACAUGCAAGUCGAACGGAAAGGCCCAAGCUUGCUUGGGUACUCGAGUGGCGAACGGGUGAGUAACACGUGGGUGAUCUGCCCCGCACUUCGGGAUAAGCCUGGGAAACUGGGUCUAAUACCGGAUAGGACAGUGGUUUGGAUGCCAUUGUGGAAAGUUUUUUCGGUGUGGGAUGAGCUCGCGGCCUAUCAGCUUGUUGGUGGGGUAAUGGCCUACCAAGGCGUCGACGGGUAGCCGGCCUGAGAGGGUGUACGGCCACAUUGGGACUGAGAUACGGCCCAGACUCCUACGGGAGGCAGCAGUGGGGAAUAUUGCACAAUGGGUGCAAGCCUGAUGCAGCGACGCCGCGUGGGGGAUGACGGCCUUCGGGUUGUAAACUCCUUUCGCUAGGGACGAAGCGUUAUGUGACGGUACCUAGAGAAGAAGCACCGGCUAACUACGUG